UAAUAGCUAAUUAAGCCGACAAGCUCCCUUAUUUCACGGGUGCUUGGUGUGCAAUGGUUGCAAAUAGCAGCCUCCUUGGUAGUGUGUGUGCAACUUGCUGCUUGUAUGGGCUGCCCUAAGGGACCUUAGAGACAGUC